rnacentral:lncRNA from 1 species
GCAGCUUGUCCCAGAGCAGCAUCUCCAGCACCAUCAUCUGCUUCAGCUCCACCAGCACCUCAGCAGACUUACAGAGCAGCACCGAGUUACCGCCAGGAGGAUAGGUCGUCCAUGCCGCGACAGGGUGAGCGUCGACAGCAGGCUCCGAGUGGUAGAGUCUAUGCAGCUCAGGUGGAGGACUCUACAGCAGCCGACCGAGUGGUGGCAGGUAUCACUUUGAUUUCUGGCAUUAGAGUUCGCACUCUUUUUGAUACUGGUGCAUCACAUUCCUUUGUUAGCCGAGCAUUUGCAUUGUUGCAUGGUCUAGAGUUAGGGGCAUUGUCACAGGCACGAGAGGUGCAGAUCCCGGACCAUAUUUUACAGGUUGCGGAGUGUUGUUGGUCGUGUCCGGUGCAGUUGGACUCGUGGGUCAUGCCCGCAGACCUGUUGGUGUUAGGGCAGCUGCAGGACUUCGACGUCGUGCUCGGUAAGGAUUGGCUUGCACGGUACUAUGCUACGAUCGACUGUGGAGCGAGGACGGUGACGUUCCGCGAGCCAGGUCAGGAGGAGUUUACUUUCAGAGGCUGCAGGAGUACGCUAUUUGCCACCUGGAUAUCUUCGGCGAGGGCUCGACAGAUGCUGAGUAGCGGGUGUAUCGCUUUCCUAGCGACUGUUGUGGAGGUACCUACGGCGGCGCCGGGACUUGAGGACAUCCCAGUAGUCCGCGAGUUUCCGGACGUAUUUCUCCCUGAGUUGACAACGUUGCCGCCGGAAAGGGAGAUUGAGUUUGUGAUUGAUGUAGUUCCUGGAACUGCACCAAUCUCAAAGGUACCUUAUCGGAUGGCGCCGGCAGAGCUGAGAGAGCUAAAGGCACAGCUUCAGGAUUUGAUAGAUAAAGGGUUUGUGAGACCCAGUGUGUCGCCUUGGGGAGCGCCAGUGCUAUUUGUAAAGAAGAAAGAUGGUUCGCUCAGGUUAUGUGUAGAUUACCGGGAGCUGAAUAAAGUGACCAUCAAAAAUAAGUAUCCCUUGCCGCGCAUUGAUGAUUUGUUUGAUCAGCUGCAGGGAUCUUAUGUCUUCUCGAAGAUUGAUCUCCAGUCAGGUUACCACCAGCUGAGGGUGAGGGCCGAGGAUGUUCCCAAGACCGCUUUUCGGACUCGGUACGGGCAUUAUGAAUUUACAGUGAUGCCUUUUGGAUUGACAAAUGCCCCUGCCGCAUUCAUGGAUUUGAUGAACAGAGUGUUCAAGCCGUUCUUGGAUAGAUUUGUGGUAGUCUUCAUCGACGACAUCCUGAUAUACUCCCGGAGUGAUGCUGAGCAUGAGGAGCACUUGAGGAUUGUGCUACAGCUUCUGCGAGAGAAGAAGCUGUAUGCCAAGUUGAAGAAGUGCGAGUUCUGGCUACGGGAGGUUGCUUUCUUGGGCCACGUGAUUUCAGCCGAGGGCGUAGCAGUGGACCCGAAGAAGAUUGAGGCGAUUCGAGAUUGGCCUAGACCGACGACGGUGAUUGAGGUACGGAGCUUCCUGGGACUGGCAGGAUAUUACCGUCGGUUUGUGGAAGGCUUUGCGAAGCUUUCCACACUCCUCACACGCUUGACGCGGAAGGAGAUUCGUUUUGUUUGGAGCGAUGACUGUCAGAGGAGCUUUGACGAGUUGAGACUGAGGUUGACAUCAGCUCCUAUCCUUGCCCUUCCGGUGAUGGGGGAUAGAUUUGUGAUCUACAGUGAUGCAUCGCACAGUGGACUUGGUUGCGUGCUGAUGCAGCAUGGUAGGGUGAUUGCUUAUGCUUCACGGCAAUUAAAGGAUUUUGAGAAGAAUUACCCUACGCAUGACUUGGAGCUUGCCGCGGUGGUUUCUGCUUUGAAGCUCUGGCGGCAUUACUUGUACGGCGAGCACUGCGAGGUCUUCACCGAUCAUCAAAGUCUCAAGUAUCUGUUCACACAAAGGGAGCUGAAUCUGAGGCAGCGCCGGUGGUUAGAGUUACUGAAGGACUAUGACAUUAGUAUUCAGUAUCAUCCCGGCAGGGCGAAUGUUGUGGCAGAUGCGUUGAGCAGGAAGUCAAUGCAGAGCCUGAGUUUGAUGAUUACUGAGCAGAGACCCCUCCUCGAGGAGCUUCAGCGGCUGGGACUCGAGAUAGUACCCCCUGGGUCUACGGCGAGGCUGACGUCUCUAGUUUUACAGCCGACUCUGUUAGAUAGGAUCCGAGAGAAACAGAGUGGAGAUCCGUACUUGUUGAGGAUUAGAGAGCAGCUAGACAGGGGGCAGGCUGAGGGUUUUGCUUUGGACAGUUCGGGAGUACUACGGUACAGGGACCGACUGUGUGUGCCUAUGGAUUCUGAGAUCCGAUCAGACAUUCUGAGAGAGGCUCAUUGUUCUCCUUAUACGGUUCACCCAGAUGGAACCAAGAUGUAUAAGGACUUAAAGGCACGGUUUUGGUGGAAUGGUAUGAAGAGGGACAUUGGCAGAUUUGUGGCUCAGUGUCUGACUUGUCAACAGGUAUAGGCAGAGCAUCAGGUACCUGCUGGCAAGCUUCAGAGUCUGCCAGUGCCCGAGUGGAAGUGGGAGUACAUCACGGUGGAUUUCGUCGUUGGUUUGCCUAGAGCGCAGGGUGGCUUUGACGCGAUUUGGGUUAUAGUGGACAGACUGACCAAGUCUGCUCACUUCCUAGUAGUUCAGACUACCUGGUCCAGAGAGAGACUCGCUCAGUUAUACCUGGACGAGAUUGUUAGGUUGCACGGUGUGCCAAUGUCGAUUGUGUCAGACAGAGAUCCGAGGUUUGUAUCCCAGUUUUGGAGGAGCCUUCAGACCGCCUUGGGCACUCAGCUGCAUUUUAGCACGGCGUUCCACCCACAGACAGAUGGUCAGUCAGAGCGGACCAUACAGACUUUAGAGGACAUGCUGAGGGCAUGCGUCCUGGAUUUUGGAGGAGGGUGGUAUCGACAUGUGAGACUGGUUGAGUUUGCGUACAACAACAGCUAUCAAACGAGCAUUCAGAUGGCUCCGUUUGAGGCGUUGUAUGGACGCAGAUGUUGAUCCCCCCUGUUUUGGAGCGAUGUGGGUGAGCGGAGGACACUUGGACCGGAGAUCUUACUUGAGGCUGAGGAAAAGGUGAGAGUCGUUCGACGACACCUUUUGACAGCUCAGAGCCGCCAGAGGAGCUACGCCGAUACCAGGAGACGAGACUUAGAGUUUCAGGUUGGAGAUCAUGUUUUCCUCAAAGUCUCGCCGUCCAGAGGUAUUCGCCGAUUUGGAGUGCGUGGAAAGCUCAGUCCACGUUUCGUUGGCCCUUUCGAGGUAUUGGAGCGAGUUGGACCAGUUGCAUACCGGAUUGCUCUACCACCCCGACUAGCUGGGGUUCAUGAUGUGUUCCACGUCUCGGCUCUGAGGAGAUAUGUUUUCGAUCCUUCUCACGUGAUUCACUUCACUCCACUAGAGAUUGGCGAGGAUUUGAGAUACGAGGAGCGACCGGUGCGGAUUCUUGCUCGCGAGACGAAGGAAUUGCGCAACCGGGUCAUCCCGUAUGUGAAAGUGCAGUGGAGCAAUCAUGAGGAGCGGGAGGCGACUUGGGAGCCUGAGACAGUGAUGAGGGAGUCCUACCCCGACUUGUUCGUUGUCCCGUCUUAAGGUAUGUUUUAAGUUUCGAGGACGAAACUUUUUAUAGUGGGGGAGGAUGUAGUAUCCUUAUUUCUUUAUCUUUUCUUUUCCUUUUUCUUUUUAUUUCUUUUGAGUUGGUAAGCUAGCUGGGGAUAAGGAUGCCACGUGCACCUUACCCCCAAGCAUGCUUAUCACCUUAAUACUUGUGCAUAGUUUAUAUAUAGUUCAUGAGCCUCUACGCAUAUAGUUCUUGAGUCGUACGUAGAGGAGGAGCUCGGGUGGUGUGGAGUUUCGUCGACGUUGCGCAGCGGUGCCGUUCGAGCGUGUGUUCGUCGUCGUAGCAUCGCGAGGGGGGCCGGGUGAGGGUCCGAUUUCGCUGUUUUUGUUGUCGCGCCGGAUUGUGAUUAGCGUUUGAGGUGGGUUACAUCGGCUUUACUCCUAAGUUCUUAUUGGCCGACAUGUAUAGAUCUUGAUUUCGGUAAUUAAUUUAGCUCAAAUUCAUGGACUAUAUGUAGAUUGCGAAAUCUGAAUUUUGGAGCAUAUUUUAUAAAUUAAGUAGAUCAUACAUGUUGUACUUGAAAAUUGAAUUAGGAGAAAACCUGCGAUUUGGACCUGUCACCAGUUUUAACUACCUGAUUUAGCUCUAGGAGCCGUUAGAAAAUUGUAUUGUCGCAGUUUCUUCGAGACGAGUACUCCAGGUAGUUUAGAAUGUAUUUACACUCGUGCUGGUUCGCCGAGUGGAUUUUUACAGGGUCAUUCAGGUUGUUUCGGACUUUUGGGUGCCGUCAGAGUUGACGGUGGACCCGUAUCGCCUUUUUGGGCGUCAGAUUGUGCCGAGGGCACGUUACCUAUUGGUUGUUAGACCAGUUUGAGUCGAUUACUUGACGUUGGCUAGUUGGAGCCUGUUUGAGCUCGACAGAGAUACGCUGCAUACUCGGUUGGGUCAGUGCUAUAGAGAGGUUAUUCGAGGAUCUGUACGUUCCAGAGGGGGAGCAGGUACCUUUGGGAGUACACUGUUUGUCAGGUGAUGCACGUGACUGGUGGCGGAGAGUAAGGUGAGACCAGAGACUGGAGGCAGCGCAGCUGAGGUGGGACGAGUUCUGUGGAAUGCUGUAUGGGAUGUAUUUUCCCAACAGCAUGAAGCAGAAGGUUGAGGAGGAUUUGAAGAGGAUCCAACAGGGCGAGCGGACAGUUCAGGAGUAUGUUCGGGAGUUUACUAGACUCCUGAACUGUGUUCCGUUCGUGGCCAGAGACGAGGCACAUAGGGUCUACUUGUUCGAGCAGGGUUUGAGACCCGAUCUGUUCAGGUUCGUUAGGGCGCAGAGGUCGAUGACUUUGGACACGUCCAUUGAGCAGGCACUAUGGGAGGAGAGAGGAGAGGUGUCACUGCGAGAGAGGGCUCAGGGGCCGGGACAGACUCAGGACAGGAAGCGUCCAGCUCCAGACGACGGAGGCCAGUCGAGUAGCAGGCGUCCACCGAGACCUCCACGAUCGCGUUCUCAGGGUCGUGGGUUCUCGGGACGUCAGCGAUCCAGAGACUCCCGUUAGAGAGGACAGCCUGAGAGGGCGCCGCAGUGUGUGAUCUGUGGAGGACCACACUGGCCCAGACAGUGUGAGCAGAGGGAGGGCCGGUGCUACGGAUGUGGUCAGCUGGGACACAUGAGGGCAGCUUGUCCCAGAGCAGCAUCUCCAGCACCAUCAUCUGCUUCAGCUCCACCAGCACCUCAGCAGACUUACAGAGCAGCACCGAGUUACCGCCAGGAGGAUAGGUCGUCCAUGCCGCGACAGGGUGAGCGUCGACAGCAGGCUCCGAGUGGUAGAGUCUAUGCAGCUCAGGUGGAGGACUCUACAGCAGCCGACCGAGUGGUGGCAGGUAUCACUUUGAUUUCUGGCAUUAGAGUUCGCACUCUUUUUGAUACUGGUGCAUCACAUUCCUUUGUUAGCCGAGCAUUUGCAUUGUUGCAUGGUCUAGAGUUAGGGGCAUUGUCACAGGCACGAGAGGUGCAGAUCCCGGACCAUAUUUUACAGGUUGCGGAGUGUUGUUGGUCGUGUCCGGUGCAGUUGGACUCGUGGGUCAUGCCCGCAGACCUGUUGGUGUUAGGGCAGCUGCAGGACUUCGACGUCG